UGCCAUGCAAGAUAAUGUUGUUGGAGCCUUCCAAGCCAAUGCUGGUUCCAGUUUCCCUACAAGAUGCAGCCGGUGGUGGAGCCAGUGUUGUUGGAGUUGGGGAUGUGGCUGGAGAAGAGAUUCCUCUUCAAAGGGCUCAAGCCCCUGGAAAAGUGGCCCCCCAAAUUCUGCUAGACAUAGUUCUUUGCCCACAUUGGAUCCGGAGAGCAUCCUUGGACUCCAGGGCCAGUAGGCGGUGCCCUUGUGUCUGUCACCCAACGUGGUGGAGACACGCUCCUAUGUCUACCUGAGCCCCAACACCAAGGUGCCUCUUUGGAGUAGCCCCUGAUGGCUGUGGCUGCCACCUAGAACCAGCGACUCCAGAAGAAGCCGCCCCAUUUCUCCCUCCAACAUCUGCCUAAGCAAGAGAGGGCUCUGCUGGUGACUGUCAUCAUGUCCCACGGCUUUUACCUGGGGUCUCCAGUGACAUCACUCCCCACCCCCACCGCCCCUGGCUCACCCGCUUUCCAGUAAUCAUGCCCAGAGCACCCGUGCUAAUUCAAACAAGACGUGGACUUUCAUGUUAAAGCAGCCUUCAGCUGAGAGGCGACGCCUGCUUCUGGAAAAUGUUAACGCUUUCCUGUUGGACGCCAAGCCCGCUUGGAACUGAGCUUCAAACGAAACCUCAUCUGUAAAAUGAGGGGGUUGGACGAUCCCAGAGAGCCAUUCUGGCUCUGACGGUUUAUGCCACUGUGAAAAGAAAACCCGAUGGAGCCCCGUGUGUGGGAGUCGAGGGCUACUUCUGGUUGGCAAUGGUGUGGUCACAAAUAAAGUGGUUGUGAAUC
rnacentral:lncRNA from 10 species